rnacentral:tRNA from 1 species
GGAGUUGUGGCUCAGUGGUAGAGCACUUGCCUGGUAUGUAUGAGGCUCUGCUAUAAAUAAAUGAAUAAAAUAAAGGUCCGUCAACACCU